rnacentral:misc_RNA from 1 species
AACUUUCGGCAACGGAUCUCUUGGUUCUGGCAUCGAUGAAGAACGCAGCGAAAUGCGAUAAGUAGUGUGAAUUGCAGAGUUUAGUGAAUCAUCGAAUCUUUGAACGCACAUUGCGCCCGCCGGCACUCCGGCGGGCAUGCCCGUCCGAGCGUCACCUCUACCCUUGGGCACUGCCCAGCGUUGGGGACCCGCGCCCAGCGCGGCCCCCUGAAUCUAGCGGCGCCGCCGCCUGGCCCGUCCCCUGCGAGGUAAGAAUCCGCAGAGGGUCCCGGGCGAGCGGCAGCCACCCACACGUACUCAUGACCUCGGAUCGGGUAGGACUACCCGCUGAACUUAAGCAUAUCAAUAAGCGGAGGCU